rnacentral:rRNA from 1 species
UACGAAGGGGGCUAGCGUUGUUCGGAUUUACUGGGCGUAAAGCGCACGUAGGCGGAUCGUUAAGUCGGGGGUGAAAUCCUGGGAGCUCAACUCCAGAACUGCCUUCGAUACUGGCGAUCUUGAGUCCGGAAGAGGUGAGUGGAACUCCUAGUGUAGAGGUGGAAUUCGUAGAUAUUAGGAAGAACACCAGUGGCGAAGGCGGCUCACUGGUCCGGUACUGACGCUGAGGUGCGAAAGCGUGGGGAGCAAACAGG